rnacentral:rRNA from 1 species
GACGGAGGGCGCGAGCGUUGUUCGGAAUUACUGGGCGUAAAGCGCGCGCAGGCGGAUGUGGCAAGUCGGAAGUGAAAUCCCGGGGCUCAACCCCGGGACUGCUUCCGAUACUGCUCGUCUAGGGACCGGUAGAGGCUGGUGGAAUUCCCGGUGUAGCGGUGGAAUGCGUAGAGAUCGGGAAGAACACCUGUGGCGAAGGCGGCCAGCUGGGCCGGAUCCGACGCUGAGGCGCGAAAGCGUGGGGAGCAAACAGGAUUAGAAACCCGUGUAGUCC